GAUAUGAAUUGAAAGAUGUCAUUCAUGAUCUUUGUUGCCUUUGGUGUAGGUAUGAAUAACAAUAGCAUUUGUGAGGGAAAAGUGAAUAUGUACAUUUUUAUUCAUAAAAUAAAAAAAAUUGCAAACAACCAGUUAAGCCACUGACAAUAUCAGCCUAAAUACAGUAGCUGAAUUAUUUACGUUUUUUUUUUUUUUUUUUUUUGAGAUGGGAUCUCACUCUGUCACCCAGGCUGGAGUGAUUGGCACAAGUGUGGCUCCGCUGCAACCUCCACCUCCCAGGCUGAAGCGAUUCUCCCACCUCAGCCUCCCCAGUAGCUGGGACUACAGCUUGUCCCACUGCAAGGCCUUCAGGGGCAGUAACAGGCAUGGAGCUGCCAUCUCCUAUGAGAGCAACACCUUCUUGUGCAAUACCUUCUGGAGGACCUGCCUGAGGCUGUUCACAGUCAACUUUUUCUUUAAGUAGAAGGAGUACACUCUAAAAUAAAAAGUAUAAUAAAGCCAUAAACCGUAGUCAUUAUUAUCAAGUAUUAUGAACUGUACAUAAUUGUAUGUGCUAUACCUUUAUGACUGACAGCACAGUAGGUUUGUUUACACCAGCAUCACCACAAACACGUGAGUAAUGCAUUGCACUGUGAUGUUAAGAUGGCUACAGUGUCACUGGGCCAUAGGAAUGUUUCAGCUCUACUGUAAUCUUAUGGGGCCACUGCCUAUAUUGACUGAAAUGUCAUCAUGCAAUGCAUGACUGUACUUUAAAUCAUCUCUAGAUUACUUAUAAUACAAUGAAAAUGCUAUGUAAAUAGUUGUUAUACUGUAUUUAGGGAAUAAUGAUAAGAAAAAAAGUCAGUACAUGUUCAGUACAGAUGCAACUGUAGUUUUCUUUUGAAUAUUUUUUAUCUCAGGACGAAGCCCCAAAUGCAGAAUUCAUAGAUACAGAGGGCCAACUGUUCUUGGAAUUUGGGUUGAAAGCUGUUAAAGUUCUUUUCAGCCAAAAAAAAAAAAUGCCUUGUAAUAAAUUGUCAUGUUUGAAAUGUAUCAUGCUUGUUUUGCUCUACAUGGUUUUUUGGUACUACAUAACCGUAGACUUAAGUAUCUUUUUGGUGGAAAUAAAAUAUGAAAUCUCUUUAAUUUUGUUAAUGUUAGGUCUGGUAUUCAUUCCAUUAAGUUCCACUUUAAAGUAUGGAAAAAUGUUAUAAACAUCUGCUUUAAACAAUGAAUGGUACUGCAAUAGUCCUGUAAAAAAAAUGAAUGGCGUAAAGUCCUUCGAAUUUUCAUUUAAAGAAUGGCAUAGCUUUAUAAUACAUUAAGUUUUUAAUAUGCGGAAUGUAUUUAAUAUCCUAAAGCGAUGAAUUGUCUUGGCAUUAUGCUAUCUUAUGAAACACUUUCUUACUCUCACAUUGUGUCUUUAUAGUUUUCAAUAUCAGCAAAACCUCUAAAUAGUCUUAGUUGGGUGUUGUGUAUCAUUGUACAGUAACUGUUAGUACAUGUGGUAGUUCUGAUCCAUGUAAUAAAGUACAUUUGUCAUGUA